rnacentral:rRNA from 1 species
UACGUAGGGGGCAAGCGUUGUCCGGAAUCAUUGGGCGUAAAGAGCGUGUAGGCGGCCCGAUAAGUCCGCUGUGAAAGUCCAGGGCUCAACCCUGGGAUGCCGGUGGAUACUGUCGGGCUAGAGUCCGGAAGAGGCGAGUGGAAUUCCUGGUGUAGCGGUGAAAUGCGCAGAUAUCAGGAGGAACACCGAUGGCGAAGGCAGAUCUCUGGGCCGUAACUGACGCUGAGGAGCGAAAGCGUGGGGAGCGAACAGG